rnacentral:rRNA from 1 species
GUAUUAUACAGCGAAACUGCGAAUGGCUCAUUAAAACAGCUAUAGUUUAUUUGACAAUCAAACUUACAUGGAUAACCGUAGUAAUUCUAGAGCUAAUACAUGCUGUACUGCCAACUUUUUGGAAGGCAGGUAUUUAUUAGAUAUUAACCAAUAUUCCGUAGGUCUAUCGUGGUGAGUCAUAAUAACUUUCGAAUCGCAAAGCCUUUGGCUGCGAUAAGUCAUUCAAGUUUCUGCCCCAUCAGCUUUAGAUGGUAGUGUAUUGGACUACCAUGGCUUUCACGAGUAACGGAGGAUUAGGGUUCGAUUCCGGAGAGGGAGCCUGAGAAACGGCUACCACAUCUAAGGAAGGCAGCAGGCGCGUAAAUUACCCAAUCCUGAUUCAGGGAGGUAGUGACAAGAAAUAACAAGCAGUAGCUUUUUGUUACUGAAUUGAAAUGAGCCGAAUUUACAACUCUUAGUGAGGAUCCAUUGGAGGGCAAGUCUGGUGCCAGCAGCCGCGGUAAUUCCAGCUCCAAUAGCGUAUAUUAAAGUUGUUGCAGUUAAAAAGCUCGUAGUUGGAUUUCUGACAGGGGGCCGAACACCACUGUAGUGAGUGUUUUGGUACCUGUCAUCCUUCUGUUAACCCUAGCGUCAUUCAUUUGUCGUUGGGCGGACCAGAUACUUUACCUUGAGAAAAUUAGAGUGUUUCAGGCAGGCCUAGCCGGAAUACAUUAGCAUGGAAUAAUGGAAUAGGACUAUAGUCUCGUCGUUGGUUACGUGGACUGCAGUAAUGAUUAAUAGGGAUAGUUGGGGGCAUUAGUAUUUAUUAGCUAG